GAAUUUAACUUGGUGUGGAU
rnacentral:siRNA from 1 species